UCCCAGACUCCUACGGGAGGCAGCAGUGAGGAAUAUUGGUCAAUGGGCUUACGCCUGAACCAGCCAAGUCGCGUGAGGGAAGACUGCCCCAUGGGUUGUAAACCUCUUUUGUCAGGGAGCAACGCCGGCUACGUGUAGCCGGACUGAGAGUACCUGAAGAAAAAGCAUCGGCUAACUCCGUGCCAGCAGCCGCGGUAAUACGGAGGAUGCGAGCGUUAUCCGGAUUUAUUGGGUUUAAAGGGUGCGUAGGCGGAAUGCCAAGUCAGCGGUAAAAUCGCGGGGCUCAACCUCGCUCCGCCGUUGAAACUGGCGUUCUUGAGUGGGCGAGAAGUAUGCGGAAUGCGUGGUGUAGCGGUGAAAUGCUUAGAGAUCAUACAGAACACCGAUUGCGAAGGCAGCUUACCAAUCUAUAUCUGACGUUGAGGCACGAAAGCGUGGGGAGCAAACAGGAUUAGAUACCCCAGUA
rnacentral:rRNA from 1 species